rnacentral:sRNA from 2 species
UAGAAUAUUUUAACGUCUGUUAAAGGGUGUAUAUUAGGUGCACCAAGAAGCCAAAUGGCGGCUGGGAAUUAUUGAUAUUGAUAUAAGGCUUCCGAUGAUAGGGUGAAAAGGAACAGGAAAUCUUUAGCUGAAAAUUGACAAAAUAUGUCUCAAAGAAUGUGGGCUCCUUCAAUUUAUCACUAGCUACCUAUGGUAUGUAUGUAGGUACAGUAUUAUCGUUGCAGUGAUGGAUGACAGAUAAAAAAAAAAGGACCGUGAUGAAUACAUAAUAUUUGCUAACAACAGAGACAUGGCAAAGCCCAAAGGAAAUUAAGGGGGAUAAGAACAUUCUUCCUUGGGGUAGGAGAAGAGAAGUAAAACCACAACAGAGAAGCGAAUACAAUAGGGAGAAAUGCAAGAUUGAUCAUGGGAAUAUCGAACGGGGAGAGAGACACGGACCACAAAUUUAAACAGAACGAAAACGAAAGGGUCAUUGGACGCCCAAUGCAAACAUCACAUCGGAUAUUACUCUGUAAGCUGUUUAGCUAAUUCAUUCACCACGCCACGGAAAGCGCGACUCUUGUCACCUUCAAUGAAUUGACUCCCAACUACUGUUUUUAGGUCUACCGGGCGGAUAUCGCUCCUUCCUAAGAAGAAUGGGCUACGGCAGCCGUGAAAAGACCGGAAAAGGAUUUUUGAUUCCUCAAAUUUGAACACUGCAAUAUAUUUUGCGAAAAGGUAGUGAUUUAAAAGAGCAGGAUGUCCUGCAAGCACCUGUAGAGUGUGCUCGAGCCCGUCGGGGUGUUCCCGGGCAAGGAAAACCCAACGGUGGGAAACGGAAUUAGUAGCAGGCGCGUCAACUCGCAUAACACGUUGUUCAGAGAGCAAUAUACCAGCGGUCUCCCAAAAUGGAGUAUCCUCGAUGGUUUCGACGUCCAAUUGAGGAUUUUGUCUGACGAUAGCGGUAAUGGUAGACGUCAAACGUCUCAUUAACUCGGAGGGCCCGGUUGGUUCAUGCGCUUCGUAUAUGACAUGUUUGUUCAUUUUGUUCUCGUACGGUCAACCGCCGGGGUUGAAUAGUUUUCCCGCGUUGCUUUUUUAUAUGUUCGAUUUCGUACUAGGAGAGAUGUGGUUCUUGUUUGGGCGACUUGGAGGAUGGAAAGAUGGG